AUACAGAGGGUGCAAGCGUUAAUCGGAAUUACUGGGCGUAAAGCGCGCGUAGGCGGCUAAUUAAGUCAAAUGUGAAAUCCCCGAGCUUAACUUGGGAAUUGCAUUCGAUACUGGUUAGCUAGAGUGUGGGAGAGGAUGGUAGAAUUCCAGGUGUAGCGGUGAAAUGCGUAGAGAUCUGGAGGAAUACCGAUGGCGAAGGCAGCCAUCUGGCCUAACACUGACGCUGAGGUGCGAAAGCAUGGGGAGCAAACAGGAUUAGAUACCCGUGUAGUCC
rnacentral:rRNA from 1 species